rnacentral:tRNA from 1 species
GCGCCGGUAGUCCAGCCUGGUCUAAGACACCAGCCUGCCACGCUGGGAACCUGGGUUCAAAUCCCGGCCGGCGCA